rnacentral:lncRNA from 10 species
ACAGACAAGGGGAGGGUUUCCUGUGAUGGGAUCAGUCAGAUGCCUGCCUGGCCGCUCCCCCUGAGGGGACUUGGGCUCCUCUUAGCAUUGGCAGGCAGGAAUAAACUUCCGGCUCAGAUCGAGCUAUGCCUGAUGCUGCCUUAAGCCUUAUGAGGUCGCCACGGAACCGCAGGUGAGGACUCAGGAGAUAAUUCUGCGAACAGAACUUCCUGAGAACUGAGAUGGGGUAAAUCGCUGGUAUUAGAAGAGUGAAAAUGUCAGUAAUUAAGGCUACGACUGUGCUCUUAGAGGCAAAAGAAGAAAAUGAGACUGCCAGGCAUGAAUAAUGAGAAAUCUUUGAUGGAAUUAGCCAUGCAGAACAGAUAC